UCACAGAUCAUGGCCCAUUCAUAAUGGAGAUCGUUUUAAUGUUUGUUACGUAUCCCGUCUCAUUCUACUUGUUUUUUAUGGCCUGAUGAUUGGUAAAAUGUUUUUUUUACAGUCUCAUGUUGUUUCCUGCCUCUUAGGUAAAGCUGACUUAUCUUCUGAUAGAACUUUAUCAGUGCAUUAAGUUCUGUGUGACCAGUCCCGCCUAUCAGCUGCGCUUGUAAUGGUGUGUUGGGCUCACUGACUGACCACUAAUCAUUUCUGUGCCUGAGUACUACCAUGACAUUUGAUCCCACUAGCUGUAUCACAUUGCUUUGACAAGGUUGUAAUGUGGCUUUACCUAAGUGACUUUGCAAUUGUCGUAACAUGCGAUAACUAUGCGACUGCCGUAAGAAUGGAUGCGUACCUACCCCUCAAUCACCUCUUACGUCAGUGACCUGGUCAGUGCUAACAUUCACUUGAUCCGUAAUGCCACCAGAAUUGUUCGUUAGUUCCGUAUCUUACUCCCUCAUAUUGCCAGUGGUGCAAGAUGGGUAUUUGGUCCUCUAGUUGACUUACGUGGCCUGGAAUGCCUCUCGAUUCACCCGGUAAGCCUCUCCUCUCCAGUUACCACAAGCAAUAGCCCUUGGUCCUGCUGUAGCUUGAGCACAAAACGUUCCUCGCUACGUAACUUAACCAGUUUCAAGAAUGUGGCGCUGAAUGUUGUGUUGACCGGUGCGCUGUGCCCGGUGCUUGCUUCUGUAUUCACAGAAUGUGGUCUGUGACAAUUACAUUAUCUGCAAAAUAAUUGCUGUACGUAAACCAUUUUUUCAGCUUUGUAUCUCAUUUUGUAAUUUGGCUGAACAUGAGUGCACUCUAGGAUAUUGAAUCUGCCGUGCAUUGGAGAGGAGAAGGUAAUGUUGACCGCCUGCCAAGGGCAGAGGCACGUAUGAAUCCCUCAGAGUGAAGUGCGAUAUCGUUUGCCUACCUCUUUGAGGAUUGCAGUUUGCUAUGUAUUUUUUUUAUGAAGGCAUGGUACUUUGCACGUUUUCUGUGUAUCGUGGUAGUAACAUCGAGACCGAAAGGAAGAUUUUUUAAAUCAUUAUGGUAAAAGAAAUUCCCUUGUAUAGUCUUAGAUUUAAAUUUAGUCAUGAAUGUACAUUUGUAGUUUAAUUGUAACCUAACCCAACCCUCAAGCUUUUCCAACACAAGAUGAAUGUCUUUUCCUGUGGGAGAUUUGAGAAUUUGACAUGAAUCAAGUAGAAGGUACACUGAAGUGUGUGGCAGGUGGGUUGCUUAGGUGUGUCCGAGUGUGUGUUUGGCGUAAGUUGUGUGAAAUAUGGUUUUAUUAUUUACGACCAUGUGCAUGUGCCUCUGUGUCAAGAUGUUUGGAAGCAAGUAAUUAUUGUGUGCAAUAUGACAGUAUGAAGAUCCUGAACAUACUUUCAUAUUUUGUUAAUGUUUUAUUGCUCUCAAAUUGUGUAAGAAUUAGAAGGAUAUGAAGUUUUCAUCGGGCCUCGGUCCAGAAGUACGUCAUCAGUAAGAAGUUCUGGAACGCCAUAAUUCUAAUCAUUUGUAAAUUCCUUGUAUUUGUCUGUACGUGAUUUCUCUUGGGUUUCCUUUAAUUACAUUUAGUUACACUGGAUCUCAAAAGUAAAGGUACCUUAUUUGAAGAAAAAGUUUAAUUACCUAAUUAUAAAUCUCAUCUUAUUAAAGAUGCCAGGUCUAGACAAUAGCCUUUUUAAGGACUAUCAUAAAGUUAUUUCCUUUUUUUUUAAACCAUCGAUAAAGAAAUUUGGGAAACAGUGAUUUAUGAUGAUGGCUGUCUUUUGAUUUAUAUCAGUGCCUUCUAGAUCUGUUACUGGUCGGACAAGCCGCAAUCCUGCUGACUUGUAGAGUCUUGAAAAAUGUAUUUUUUAUUUAUUCAGAUGCUCCCUUUUAUAUGAAAUAAAAUGGCAGAGGUAAAUGUGUUGC